rnacentral:tRNA from 1 species
AACUUUAUAGUCAUUGAAUGAUAUUAGACUGCAAUUCUAAAGGAGUAAAAUUUUACUGAAGUUU